AUUCGCGGCCUAUCAGCUUGUUGGUGGGGUAAUGGCCUACCAAGGCGUCGACGGGUAGCUGGCCUGAGAGGGUGUACGGCCACAUUGGGACUGAGAUACGGCCCAGACUCCUACGGGAGGCAGCAGUGGGGAAUAUUGCACAAUGGGCGCAAGCCUGAUGCAGCGACGCCGCGUGGGGGAUGACGGCCUUCGGGUUGUAAACUCCUUUCGCCAAAGACGAAUUUUGACGGUAUUUGGAGAAGAAGCACCGGCUAACUACGUGCCAGCAGCCGCGGUAAUACGUAGGGUGCGAGCGUUGUCCGGAAUUACUGGGCGUAAAGAGCUCGUAGGUGGUUUGUCGCGUCGUUUGUGUAAGCCCAUGGCUUAACUGUGGGACUGCAGGCGAUACGGGCAUAACUUGAGUGCUGUAGGGGAGACUGGAAUUCCUGGUGUAGCGGUGAAAUGCGCAGAUAUCAGGAGGAACACCGAUGGCGAAGGCAGGUCUCUGGGCAGUUACUGACGCUGAGGAGCGAAAGCAUGGGGAGCGAACAGGAUUAGAUACCCUGGUAGUCCAUGCCGUAAACGGUGGGCGCUAGGUGUGAGUCCCUUCCACGGGGUUCGUGCCGUAGCUAACGCAUUAAGCGCCCCGCCUGGGGAGUACGGAAU
rnacentral:rRNA from 1 species